CUGCUACUGAUUGGCAUAAUCAUUGCCAUUGCAGUGGUCUGUUGCAAGUGGAGGAAGAAAGCUCUGAGAAAGGACAAAGAAGGAGUGCCACUCCGGGAUGUUUAGUGUGUGUGUGUUUCAGCACAUGCACACACAUGCACACAUAUUAUUGUGGGAACAAGCGGUACAGCUGAACUGGACUGAGGCCUGCAACGAAAGUAAUAGUUCAAAGUUCCACUGUCAAACACUGGAAUCCACCCUUCCUUUAGUUUCUGUGAAACUGAAUAUGUUGAACAUAUUUUAUUCUUACUUCAUCUACUACUAUCAUUUCAUGCUGCAAAAAAUAAAAGAUGGAAACACUGAUAGUCAUCUUACUGAAGCGGUUAUAUUUCAUUCAUUUUCUUUUGUAUUUGCUUAGUGGUAUUUGAUAAUUGUAGAUAAAGACUACCAUUUCAUUUUAUUUAUUUCAUUUUAUAGAGACCUUUCUAACUUCACAUUUAUUUUUUUAGUCUGGUGAAAGCAACACUUUAUGGGAAAUCAAGACUUUGUGUAUAUUAUUUUGUAUCUGAUGCGUAACUUAUUGUGUUUAAUUGAAAUUAACACAUUUGUAUAUGAUGCUUUUGUUAUACGUCUGUUUUUUGCAGAUAAUUUUGUAUUUGGUGAAAAUAUUUAACAUUUGAUAAAUAUUGUUAUAAACAGAACCAUUUAUUAUUUCAGUUCUGUUAAAUGGAAAAUAGCAAAUAUUACAAUUUGUGUCUGUGCCUUAUUAGAGAUGGAAUUGGAGAUGUCAGGAUUGCAAAAAUGCUUGGACUGAAUGUGCAGAACCCAGAACCCCAACACACUGAAUAAACAAUAGUACUUGUUAAUUAACCCUAAGUGAUGUCCAGGGGGCUUACAUCCAUCUAUAGUUUUAUGAACUUCACUGUAAAAGGAGUUCUGUGCAUCUUCAUCAAAGGGUGACAAAAAAAUCUAAAAAG
rnacentral:misc_RNA from 1 species